AGUCAUAAUUUUUGAAUUUACAUCUUCGCUAUAAUUGAAUUUGAGAGAGAAAGAAAAGAGCAUUUGUUCUUGUUGCUUGUCUCCAACGACGACAAAGGUCCGCCGUCUCCAACGCGUUGGAUUGAAAAUUAGGAAUCCUGUUAUUCUGCCAGACGUCGCAUCGUUGGGUCACUUUCGCAUCUCUAGAAAUGAUGACAAUUGCAAGCUAAACGACCAAUUUGCUGAUCGCCUUCCCCAUAUGCUUACAAACAUUCUCCAUCGCCACCUGAUUCAGACUACUCGCCAAAUACAUUCCAAGAAAUCCCCAUCUCAUUACUACGCCAAAUUUUAGAAGAUGAAAGGGAUUUUGGGUAUCAGUAAUUGACGUCUUUUUGUAUAUACAAACCAGAAAUUAAGCACAGAUGAUACAGUUUUCUGAUGUCAUUUGAAGAACUCGUCAAUAAGUUCAUUCAAUAUCA